UUGCAUGUAGCUGCAAACCAAAACACUAUAAAAUAUACUUUAUACAAUUAUUUUGCAGCUCAAUAUUAUUUUGGGAUAUUCCAUCCAUGGAACGUCGUGAAGAAUUUUUAUCUGCGAAAAUAAAGGAGGAGAGAAGAUCUCAGAUGCCCCCUGGUGAUCCAGACACUGAUGAGGAUUUAGAUCUCUCCUGGAAGCCUCUCAUAAAGAUCAAUCUGCGGGAAAGGGAUAACGACUCAGAGUAUGGUCCCACGAGAAUCAGUUUAAGGAAACUGCAGUAUCGUUACAAACCCCCAGGGAGGGUAAGACCUCGGAGCACACUAAGAGCACCCAUCAAAGAGAGCACAUAUACAGAGAUGAGUGCUUCUUCAAGCAAAAAUCUGGAACUGCUAGAGAAUAUCUCCACAGACUUUUUUGUUGGAAAUGAAGUAAGUGUAAAUGAUGUAUUACCAGUGAAAAUGUUAAUUCAAGACAUCUGAAAGACUGAACAGUUAAAUAACAGAGUUUUCACAAAUGUAUGGACUUGCAUGUUUUCUUCAGGUAUAACUAAAAAGAUUUCUCUGAACAUGCCACCUUUUACUUCCACUUUAUACAUUAUUAAUAAUAAUUAUAUAAUUAAUUAAUGCAUUAUUAAUACUUUUAGCUACAUGCUUAAAAAUAAUGAACCUCCAAUAUUCAGUAGACUAGGAACCCUUACUUCAAGAGCAGAAUUAGAAGACAUUUCCAAAAUAUGUUGAGCUUAACCACCUA
ensembl:lncRNA